CGGUGUCUUCGGACAUAGUGGCGCACGGGAUGCGUAACACGUAUGCAACCUACCUUACAUUGGGGGAUAGCCUUUCGAAAGGGAGAUUAAUACCGCAUAAGACAGUAGCUGGGCAUCCAGCAGCUGUUAAAGAUUUAUCGAUGUAAGAUGGGCAUGCGUCCAAUUAGUUAGUUGGCGAGGUAACGGCUCACCAAGACUUUGAUUGGUAGGGGAACUGAGAGGUCAAUCCCCCACACUGGCACUGAGAUACGGGCCAGACUCCUACGGGAGGCAGCAGUAGGGAAUAUUGGGCAAUGGACGCAAGUCUGACCCAGCCAUGCCGCGUGCAGGAUGAAGGCGUUAUGCGUUGUAAACUGCUUUUAUACAGGAAGAAACGACUCUUGCGAGAGGCAUUGACGGUACUGUAUGAAUAAGCACCGGCUAACUCCGUGCCAGCAGCCGCGGUAAUACGGAGGGUGCAAGCGUUGUCCGGAUUUAUUGGGUUUAAAGGGUGCGCAGGUGGUUUAUUAAGUCAGUGGUGAAAGACGGUCGCUCAACGAUUGCAGUGCCAUUGAAACUGGUAGACUUGAGUAAAGUAGAGGUGGGCGGAAUUGAU
rnacentral:rRNA from 1 species